rnacentral:ncRNA from 1 species
AGAUGUGCUCGUAGAGUAACGAAGCAGGGUAAUCAAAAGAAAUACUCAUAUAAGA